rnacentral:tRNA from 1 species
GAGGGUAUAGCUCAGUGGUAGAGUGUGUGCUUAGCAUGCAUGAGGUCUUGGGUUCAAUCCCCAGUGCCUCCA